rnacentral:tRNA from 1 species
CUCCUGAUAGCUCAGUUGGUAGAGCAUGAGACUCUUAAUCUCAGGGUUGUAGGUUUGAGCCCCACAUUGGGUGA